GGGACACUUCAUUAACUUGAGAAUCCCAUUCUAUCCCAAGUUCUUAUCACCGAAAGAUUCCUAACCCUAUAAAUAGACCUGUAAUUGGCAGUGAAUGAACACACAGAAAUUAGACAAUCACCAGAAAAGAGCUUGAGCAGACUUUCUUUGCCAGUGCCGUCAACACCACAGCUGUAUCACUAAAUUUCAGCUCCUCUGUCAUUGCCAUCGCCAAUCAACCAGAUACAAAUUACAAUACCCAGUUUUCCAUCAAUUUCCAGCCAUCAUACUCAGACCCUAAUGGAGCCUCAUUUUAAGCCAACAAAUCCAAGAAUACACAAAGAUUAAACAGAAAAUCAGAUGCAGAAAAUAGAGGAAAAACCGAACAUAGUGAAAUCAUAGCAAGCAUCAAUCAGUUUCUACUCGCCUACUGUCAGCCAAAUCAUCCCUCCAUCUCUGCCAAAACACCAACAAUUCAACUCCUACCAGACAGCCCAGGACCCAUAAUCAGACCAAAAAAAGAGGUUCAAAAAAACCGUUCAUCACCAAACCCAUUAAUCAUUGAAUCCAACCCACAUUUACAAAUAGAGAGAGCUAAAAGAGAAGCCAGCCACCAAACCACGCGCGGAUAACGGAAGCACUAAUCCUCACCACCAGAGCCAUCUCCAUUUCCAGUUGCCUCUAGCACCAAAACAGAGUCACACAAGUAGUCAAAAAAGGGGAACAGAAAAGAGAUUUUCUCUUUAAGAUUCCCAAUCGAGGUUGAUCUAGUUUGUUUUGAAGCUUCGAAAUUUGUGAGGAGGCAGCCAAGAAGAAAGGGGAAAACAUACCUAGCGGUGGUGGCCAUCAGAGCUGCAAAGAACAGAGAGAAAAUCGUGAUUUUGGACUCAGAUUUGUAGAAAUCCCGCUAGUUUUUGGAAAUCCAACUGGAACACGUUAAAGAGAAGACCAAAAAGAACUGUUUCGUAAAAUUUGGAGCCCAACCGGUGCCGGUGGGGCGGUGGCCUAAAUCUGGGAAGCCUUGAAGAACUGCGCGGUGCUUACUUGAAUGCUAGAGACAAGCGUAGAGGAGAUAAAUG
rnacentral:lncRNA from 1 species